rnacentral:lncRNA from 1 species
AUUAUUAUUUUAUUUUUUGAGACAGGGUCUCACUCUGUCACCCAGGCUAGAGUACAGUGGCACAAUCAUGGCUCACCACAGCCUCAACCUCCUGGGCUCAGGUGAUUUUCCCACCUCAGCCUCCUGAGUAGCUAGGAUUACUGGCGCCGGCUUAAUUUUUGUAUUUUUUGUAGGGUUGGGGUUUCACUAUGUUGCCCGGCUGGUCUUGAACUCCUGGGCUCAAGUGAUCUGCCCACCUCAGCCUCCAAAAAUGUUAGGAUUACAGGCGUGAGCCACUAUGCUCGGCCAGGGCAUAAUUUGUAAUAAGUAAUUUAAAACAUAACAGAAAAGGCCUAUGAACAACUAUCUCAAUCCCUGUAUUCUCCCCAGAGAUCUUGGAAGGAGACCAAGCCAUCCUGCAGAGAAUAAAGAAGGCUGUGCGGGCAAUCCAUAGCUCCGGCCUUGGCCAUGUGGAGAAUGAAGAGCAGUACCGAGAGGCCG